GUUCUUCGGAAUUAGAGACCGGCGCACGGGUGCGUAACGCGUAUGCAAUCUACCUUUUACAGAGGGAUAGCCCAGAGAAAUUUGGAUUAAUACCUCAUAGUAUAGUGAUACCGCAUGGUACUACUAUUAAAGUCACAACGGUAAAAGAUGAGCAUGCGUCCCAUUAGCUAGUUGGUAAGGUAACGGCUUACCAAGGCGACGAUGGGUAGGGGUCCUGAGAGGGAGAUCCCCCACACUGGUACUGAGACACGGACCAGACUCCUACGGGAGGCAGCAGUGAGGAAUAUUGGUCAAUGGGCGCAAGCCUGAACCAGCCAUGCCGCGUGCAGGAUGAUGGUCCUAUGGAUUGUAAACUGCUUUUGUACAGGAAGAAACACUCCGACGUGUCGGAGCUUGACGGUACUGUAAGAAUAAGGAUCGGCUAACUCCGUGCCAGCAGCCGCGGUAAUACGGAGGAUCCAAGCGUUAUCCGGAAUCAUUGGGUUUAAAGGGUCCGUAGGCGGUUUAGUAAGUCAGUGGUGAAAGCCCAUCGCUCAACGGUGGAACGGCCAUUGAUACUGCUAGACUUGAAUUAUUAGGAAGUAACUAGAAUAUGUAGUGUAGCGGUGAAAUGCUUAGAGAUUACAUGGAAUACCAAUUGCGAAGGCAGGUUACUACUAAUGGAUUGACGCUGAUGGACGAAAGCGUGGGUAGCGAACAGGAUUAGAUACCCUGGUAGUCCACGCCGUAAACGAUGGAUACUAGCUGUUGGGAGCGAUCUCAGUGGCUAAGCGAAAGUGAUAAGUAUCCCACCUGGGGAGUACGUUCGCAAGAAU
rnacentral:rRNA from 1 species